rnacentral:rRNA from 1 species
UACAGAGGUCUCAAGCGUUGUUCGGAUUCAUUGGGCGUAAAGGGUGCGUAGGUGGCGCCGUAAGUCAGGUGUGAAAUCUCGGGGCUCAACCCCGAAACUGCACUUGAUACUGCGGUGCUCGAGUACUGGAGAGGAGAUUGGAAUUUACGGUGUAGCGGUGAAAUGCGUAGAUAUCGUAAGGAAGACCAGUGGCGAAGGCGGGUCUCUGGACAGUUCCUGACGCUGAGGCACGAAGGCCAGGGGAGCAAACGGG